rnacentral:rRNA from 1 species
GACGAACGCUGGCGGCGUGCUUAACACAUGCAAGUCGAACGCUGAAGCACCAGCUUGCUGGUGUGGAUGAGUGGCGAACGGGUGAGUAAUACGUGAGUAACCUGCCCUUGACUCUGGGAUAAGCCCGGGAAACUGGGUCUAAUACUGGAUGCUACAUGUCACCGCAUGGUGGUGUGUGGAAAGGGUUUACUGGUCUUGGAUGGGCUCACGGCCUAUCAGCUUGUUGGUGAGGUAAUGGCUCACCAAGGCGACGACGGGUAGCCGGCCUGAGAGGGUGACCGGCCACACUGGGACUGAGACACGGCCCAGACUCCUACGGGAGGCAGCAGUGGGGAAUAUUGCACAAUGGGCGAAAGCCUGAUGCAGCGACGCCGCGUGAGGGAUGACGGCCUUCGGGUUGUAAACCUCUUUCAGCAGGGAAGAAGCCACAAGUGACGGUACCUGCAGAAGAAGCGCCGGCUAACUACGUGC